GAUGAACGCUGGCGGCGUGCCUAAUACAUGCAAGUCGAGCGAACGGACGAGAAGCUUGCUUCUCUGAUGUUAGCGGCGGACGGGUGAGUAACACGUGGAUAACCUACCUAUAAGACUGGGAUAACUUCGGGAAACCGGAUCUAAUACCGGAUAAUAUUUUGAACCGCAUGGUUCAAAAGUGAAAGACGGUCUUGCUGUCACUUAGAAAUGGAUCCGCGCUGCAUUAGCUAGUUGGUAAGGUAACGGCUUACCAAGGCAACGAUGCAUAGCCGACCUGAGAGGGUGAUCAGCCACACUGGAACUGAGACACGGUCCAGACUCCUACGGGAGGCAGCAGUAGGGAAUCUUCCGCAAUGGGCGAAAGCCUGACGGAGCAACGCCGCGUGAGUGAUGAAGGUCUUCGGAUCGUAAAACUCUGUUAUUAGGGAAGAACAUAUGUGUAAGUAACUGUGCACAUCUUGACGGUACCUAAUCAGAAAGCCACGGCUAACUACGUG
rnacentral:rRNA from 1 species